ACGCUGGCGGCGUGCCUAAUACAUGCAAGUCGAACGGUCUUUUCUAUGGAAGCUUGCUUCCGCUGAGAAGAUAGUGGCGAACGGGUGAGUAACACGUGGGUAACCUGCCCAUAAGAGGGGGAUAACAUCCGGAAACGGGUGCUAAUACCGCAUAGUUUUCUUGAUCGCAUGAUCGGGAAAGGAAAGACGGCCUUUGUGCUGUCGCUUAUGGAUGGACCCGCGGCGUAUUAGUUAGUUGGUGAGGUAACGGCUCACCAAGACGAUGAUACGUAGCCGACCUGAGAGGGUGAUCGGCCACAUUGGGACUGAGACACGGCCCAAACUCCUACGGGAGGCAGCAGUAGGGAAUCUUCCGCAAUGGACGAAAGUCUGACGGAGCAACGCCGCGUGAGUGAAGAAGGUUUUCGGAUCGUAAAACUCUGUUGUCAGAGAAGAACAAGUUGGAGAGUAACUGCUCCAGCCUUGACGGUAUCUGACCAGAAAGCCACGGCUAACUACGUG
rnacentral:rRNA from 1 species